rnacentral:rRNA from 1 species
AAGGAGGCUUCGGCCUCUGGAGAGCGGCGAACGGGUGAGUAACACGUGGGUAAUCUGCCUGGGAGCGCGGGAUAACCUGGGGAAACUCGGGCUAAUACCGCGUACGUUGACGGGGCUUCGGUUCUGUCAAGAAAGCUGGCCUCUGCUUGCAAGCUAGCGCUCCCAGAGGAGCCCGCGGCUGAUUAGCUAGUUGGUGAGGUAAAGGCUCACCAAGGCUUCGAUCAGUAGCCGGCCUGAGAGGGUGAUCGGCCACACUGGGACUGAGACACGGCCCAGACUCCUACGGGAGGCAGCAGUGGGGAAUAUUGGACAAUGGGCGCAAGCCUGAUCCAGCAACGCCGCGUGGAGGAUGAAGGUCUUCGGAUCGUAAACUCCUGUCAGAUGGGACGAAGGAUUCAGGGUGAACAAUCCUGGAUCUUGACGGUACCAUCAGAGGAAGCCCCGGCUAACUCCGUGCCAGCAGCCGCGGUAAUACGGAGGGGGCGAGCGUUAUUCGGAAUUAUUGGGCGUAAAGGGCGCGUANGCGGCCCGGUAAGUCAAAGGUGAAAUCCCUCGGCUCAACUGAGGAACUGCCUUUGAAACUGUCGGGCUUGAGGCCGGGAGAGGGUAGUGGAAUUCCCAGUGUAGCGGUGAAAUGCGUAGAUAUUGGGAGGAACACCAGUGGCGAAGGCGGCUACCUGGACCGGUUCUGACGCUGAUGCGCGAAAGCGUGGGUAGCAAACAGGAUUAGAUACCCUGGUAGUCCACGCUGUAAACGAUGGGUGCUCGGUGUCGCGGGUAUCGACCCCUGCGGUG